GCAGUCGUACGAGGAAUGGAGUGCUUGCACUCUAUAGCCGAGUGGCGAACGGGUGAGUAACACGUGACCAACCUGUCUUCAGGAGAGGGACAACCUGGGGAAACCCGGGCUAAUACCGCAUAAUGUCUUUUCUUCUCAUGGAGGUUAGACCAAAGAGGGCCUCUACUUGUAAGCUCUCGCCUGAUGAGGGGGUCGCGGCGUAUCAGCUUGUUGGUGAGGUAACGGCUCACCAAGGCUACGACGCGUAGCGGGUCUGAGAGGACGAUCCGCCACAUUGGGACUGAGAUACGGCCCAGAUUCCUACGGGAGGCAGCAGUGGGGAAUAUUGCGCAAUGGGCGAAAGCCUGACGCAGCGACGCCGCGUGUGGGAGGAAGCCCUUCGGGGUGUAAACCACUGUCAGGGGGGAAGAAACUCGUUCAUCCGAAUAGGGUGGGCGAUUGACGGUACCUCCAAAGGAAGCGCCGGCUAACUCCGUGCCAGCAGCCGCGGUAAGACGGAGGGCGCAAGCGUUGUUCGGAAUUACUGGGCGUAAAGCGCACGCAGGCGGUCUCUUAAGUCCUUUGUGAAAGCCCGGAGCUCAACUCCGGAACUGCAGAGGAUACUGG
rnacentral:rRNA from 1 species